UUAAGCGACUAAGCGUACACGGUGGAUGCCCUGGCAGUCAGAGGCGAUGAAGGACGUGCUAAUCUGCGAUAAGCGUCGGUAAGGUGAUAUGAACCGUUAUAACCGGCGAUUUCCGAAUGGGGAAACCCAGUGUGAUUCGUCACACUAUCAUUAACUGAAUCCAUAGGUUAAUGAGGCGAACCGGGGGAACUGAAACAUCUAAGUACCCCGAGGAAAAGAAAUCAACCGAGAUUCCCCCAGUAGCGGCGAGCGAACGGGGAGGAGCCCAGAGCCUGAAUCAGUGUGUGUGUUAGUGGAAGCGUCUGGAAAGGCGCGCGAUACAGGGUGACAGCCCCGUACACAAAAAUGCACAUGCUGUGAGCUCGAUGAGUAGGGCGGGACACGUGGUAUCCUGUCUGAAUAUGGGGGGACCAUCCUCCAAGGCUAAAUACUCCUGACUGACCGAUAGUGAACCAGUACCGUGAGGGAAAGGCGAAAAGAACCCCGGCGAGGGGAGUGAAAAAGAACCUGAAACCGUGUACGUACAAGCAGUGGGAGCACAGAGCAAUCUGUGUGACUGCGUACCUUUUGUAUAAUGGGUCAGCGACUUAUAUUCUGUAGCAAGGUUAACCGAAUAGGGGAGCCGAAGGGAAACCGAGUCUUAACUGGGCGUUAAGUUGCAGGGUAUAGACCCGAAACCCGGUGAUCUAGCCAUGGGCAGGUUGAAGGUUGGGUAACACUAACUGGAGGACCGAACCGACUAAUGUUGAAAAAUUAGCGGAUGACUUGUGGCUGGGGGUGAAAGGCCAAUCAAACCGGGAGAUAGCUGGUUCUCCCCGAAAGCUAUUUAGGUAGCGCCUCGUGAAUUCAUCUCCGGGGGUAGAGCACUGUUUCGGCAAGGGGGUCAUCCCGACUUACCAACCCGAUGCAAACUGCGAAUACCGGAGAAUGUUAUCACGGGAGACACACGGCGGGUGCUAACGUCCGUCGUGAAGAGGGAAACAACCCAGACCGCCAGCUAAGGUCCCAAAGUCAUGGUUAAGUGGGAAACGAUGUGGGAAGGCCCAGACAGCCAUGAUGUUGGCUUAGAAGCAGCCAUCAUUUAAAGAAAGCGUAAUAGCUCACUGGUCGAGUCGGCCUGCGCGGAAGAUGUAACGGGGCUAAACCAUGCACCGAAGCUGCGGCAGCGACACUGUGUGUUGUUGGGUAGGGGAGCGUUCUGUAAGCCUGUGAAGGUGUGCUGUGAGGCAUGCUGGAGGUAUCAGAAGUGCGAAUGCUGACAUAAGUAACGAUAAAGCGGGUGAAAAGCCCGCUCGCCGGAAGACCAAGGGUUCCUGUCCAACGUUAAUCGGGGCAGGGUGAGUCGACCCCUAAGGCGAGGCCGAAAGGCGUAGUCGAUGGGAAACAGGUUAAUAUUCCUGUACUUGGUGUUACUGCGAAGGGGGGACGGAGAAGGCUAUGUUGGCCGGGCGACGGUUGUCCCGGUUUAAGCGUGUAGGCUGGUUUUCCAGGCAAAUCCGGAAAAUCAAGGCUGAGGCGUGAUGACGAGGCACUACGGUGCUGAAGCAACAAAUGCCCUGCUUCCAGGAAAAGCCUCUAAGCAUCAGGUAACAUCAAAUCGUACCCCAAACCGACACAGGUGGUCAGGUAGAGAAUACCAAGGCGCUUGAGAGAACUCGGGUGAAGGAACUAGGCAAAAUGGUGCCGUAACUUCGGGAGAAGGCACGCUGAUAUGUAGGUGAAGUCCCUCGCGGAUGGAGCUGAAAUCAGUCGAAGAUACCAGCUGGCUGCAACUGUUUAUUAAAAACACAGCACUGUGCAAACACGAAAGUGGACGUAUACGGUGUGACGCCUGCCCGGUGCCGGAAGGUUAAUUGAUGGGGUCAGCGCAAGCGAAGCUCUUGAUCGAAGCCCCGGUAAACGGCGGCCGUAACUAUAACGGUCCUAAGGUAGCGAAAUUCCUUGUCGGGUAAGUUCCGACCUGCACGAAUGGCGUAAUGAUGGCCAGGCUGUCUCCACCCGAGACUCAGUGAAAUUGAACUCGCUGUGAAGAUGCAGUGUACCCGCGGCAAGACGGAAAGACCCCGUGAACCUUUACUAUAGCUUGACACUGAACAUUGAGCCUUGAUGUGUAGGAUAGGUGGGAGGCUUUGAAGUGUGGACGCCAGUCUGCAUGGAGCCGACCUUGAAAUACCACCCUUUAAUGUUUGAUGUUCUAACAUGGACCCGUGAUCCGGGUUGCGGACAGUGUCUGGUGGGUAGUUUGACUGGGGCGGUCUCCUCCUAAAGAGUAACGGAGGAGCACGAAGGUUGGCUAAUCCUGGUCGGACAUCAGGAGGUUAGUGCAAUGGCAUAAGCCAGCUUGACUGCGAGCGUGACGGCGCGAGCAGGUGCGAAAGCAGGUCAUAGUGAUCCGGUGGUUCUGAAUGGAAGGGCCAUCGCUCAACGGAUAAAAGGUACUCCGGGGAUAACAGGCUGAUACCGCCCAAGAGUUCAUAUCGACGGCGGUGUUUGGCACCUCGAUGUCGGCUCAUCACAUCCUGGGGCUGAAGUAGGUCCCAAGGGUAUGGCUGUUCGCCAUUUAAAGUGGUACGCGAGCUGGGUUUAGAACGUCGUGAGACAGUUCGGUCCCUAUCUGCCGUGGGCGCUGGAGAACUGAGGGGGGCUGCUCCUAGUACGAGAGGACCGGAGUGGACGCAUCACUGGUGUUCGGGUUGUCAUGCCAAUGGCACUGCCCGGUAGCUAAAUGCGGAAGAGAUAAGUGCUGAAAGCAUCUAAGCACGAAACUUGCCCCGAGAUGAGUUCUCCCUGACCCUUUAAGGGUCCUGAAGGAACGUUGAAGACGACGACGUUGAUAGGCCGGGUGUGUAAGCGCAGCGAUGCGUUGAGCUAACCGGUACUAAUGAACCGUGAGGCUUAACCUU
rnacentral:rRNA from 1 species